AGAACAUUAUGUGGACAUUUCCUUAAUAACUCCGUGUACCUUUCCCAAGCUUCAUAUAGUGAUUCAUCGUUGCCUUGCACGAAAGAGGUAAUGUCAUUUCUCAUACU